rnacentral:rRNA from 1 species
AGUUUGACUGGGGCGGUCGCCUCCUAAACUGUAACGGAGGCGCGCUAUGGUUCCCUCAGGCUGAUUGGAAACCAGCCGCAAGAGUGUAAAGGCAAAAGGGAGCUUGACUGCGAGAGCGACAGCUCGAGCAGGGACGAAAGUCGGUCUUAGUGAUCUGGUGGCACCGUAUGGAAGGGCCAUCACUCAUCGGAUAAAAGGUACUCCGGGGAUAACAGGCUUAUCGC